rnacentral:lncRNA from 10 species
GGAGGUGGCCCAUGUCCUGCAAGGGCCUUGCUGAUGGGAUGUCCUGAAGGGCUGGGCAGCCUUAGAUCGGGCUAAGAGGGCAGGACUGUGGGCCAGUGCCAGAGCCAGGCUUGUCUGUUCUCAAAGGAUCAGCCUCCUUUGGAGGACAUUUUGUGUCAAGGAUAGGGCUGAGGACCUGCGUUCUGAACGUCUUUCCUGGGAUUCUUGACAGCCAAAGAAAUUCGAGGAUCGCCUCUAUGAAGGUGAAGUCUUGGCAUGUGGGGUACCCCUGAAUCCUGGGCUAAGGUCUGUGACCUUUUGCCCUCCAGUUGGGGUAUGUGUGGUGUCCCCAAAGAACAAGGGCUCGUGGAUCCCGAGCAGGGUGCGAUGGCGGAUUGGGAGGUCCCAUGUCACUCUCCCAUGCCCGCCUUUGAAGCUGAGGCGCUCUUUAGUUAACAAACUACAAGUCCCAGCAGGGACCGGGACGCGGGUGGGAGAGGCGCCUGUGGCCCCGAGGCGUGCCGCGAGUUGUAGUCCCUCCUGCCCGCUGUGUUCGCUUUUGAGCUCUCCGAUGGGAUGCGGCGCUUCGGAAUUUCGGGCUUUGAUCCCUGUCCCGCCCUUGGCCACAGGCACCUGCCGGCCUGAAGGCCCCCGCGGUGGGGGUACCCUGCGCCCCUCCGCGGGAAGGUGGACUACAGUUAUCGGCAGGCUGUGCGGCGCCAAAGCCACGGUGACCCAGACCCGAGGUUUUUCCGGGCGUCGCAGUUUCCCGAGACUCCGUGGCGGCGUUUGUCUUCUUUUUCUUAGUCAGAUCCCGUACUUUUGUGGAGGGUAGAGGAGGCUUUGACCGCCGCGGCCCCGGGGGCUGGUGGGAAAUGGAGUUCCAAAUGAGAAAAUAGAAUUCCCCACUUCUCUUUCCCACAGGUGCCAGGGAAACGGAGUCAUCGACCCAAGAAGGUCGUGGGAGAUGAGGUCCCAGGGUAAACAGCGGGUCCCGCCACUAUGUCACCCUUUCCUGCCGCCUCCCCGGAUGAACUGCAUGCAGGGCGGCCGGCUCCGUGGCAGGCAGAGGCAGGAAGAGGCGCGGAGCCCGCUGGUGGCGAAGAGGGGAGUGCGGCGGGAGGGGAGGGCAGAGGCAGGCGGCCGGUCGCGUGGGGCCUGGGCCGCCCCAGGAGGGCCUCUGGCUGGAUUCUUAGCAGAUGGAAGCCGUGCAAGGGCAGGAGGCAGGGGCCUGACGUGUUUGGAUUGAGGUUGCAGGAGGGGCCCCUGGCUGCUUCAGGGAGAAUAAUUUGGAGGCGAGCGGGGAGGUGAGAGGAAGCUGUGCGGUGCAGGAUGGCGUGGCUGUGGAGGUGGAGAACGUUGGGCCACGCUAGGAGUCUUGAAAGAGGAGCCAAAAGGACUUGCUGAGAGCCGCCGCAGCUGGUGAAUGACGGUGCCAUGACUGAGGUGGUCGAAAGGGAGUAUUUAAGGGGAAAUCAGGCAUUCCGUUUUGACCAAAUUAAGCUGGAGAUGCCUGUGGAACAUUCCAGCCAGGCUGCAUCACGUCACACUGACCUUCAGCAUUGCCCACAGUCCAUCUUCCCCCAGGACCUGAGGAUUUUGCGUCCGGCUCCCUCCUCGCCCAGGACCCCCAAGCUCCCAGCACGCUUCUGAUUUUUUUUGUAGGUUUUUUUUUUUGUUUUUUGUUUUGUUUUGUUUUGUUUUUGAGAGGGAGUCUCACUUUGUGCCCUAGACUGGAGUGCAAUGGCGCCAUCUCGGCUUACUGCAACCUCCACCUCCCAGGUGCAAGCGAUUCCCCUGCCUCAGCUUCCCGAGUAGCUGGGAUUACAGAUGUGAGCCACCGUACCCAGCUAAUUUUUGUAUUUUUAGUAGAGACGGGGUUUCACCAUAUUGGCCAAGCUGGUCUCGAACUCCUGACCUCAGGCGAUCCAUCUGUCUCAGCCUCCCAAAGUGCUGGGAUUACAGGUGUGAGCCACCGCGCCAGGCCUCAGCCCACUUCUUUUGGGUGGCAAUGGUUUGGAUAUCGUUUGUCCUCACUAAAAUUCAUGUUGAGAUUCGAGCCCCAGUGUGGCAGGUGUUGGGAUGUGGGGCCUCAUAAGGAGCUGUGUGGUCUUGGAGGUGGAGUCCUCAUGGAUAGAUUAAUGCCUGCCUUAAGGGGUGAGUGAGUGCUCACCCUUGGGAAUUUGGGAAUUUGGUUUUCUCUCCCUUGCUUCCUUCAGCACCAUGUGAUCUCUGUGCACACAGCUGCAUCCUUCUGCCCUCCCCCAGAAGCAGCAGCAGCCUCAGGGAUGAGGGAGGUCCUCAGUGAGUGCACCUGCCCAGUCUUGAACCUUCCAGCCAUCAGAAUCUGAGCCAAAUCAACCUCUUCCUUUAUAAAGACCCAGCCUCAGGUCUUCUGUCAGAGCAACACAAAAUGGACUCAGCACGGAUCAAAUUGUGUCUCCCCCACCCCCACAAAAAACUUUAUAUUAAAAUCCUAACCCCCAGCA